rnacentral:ncRNA from 1 species
ACCUUUCCCUAGUACGAGAGGACCGGGAAGGACGCACCUCUGGUGUACCAGUUAUCGUGCCUACGGUAAACGCUGGGUAGCCAAGUGCGGAGAGGAUAACUGCCGAAAGCAAAUAAGGUAGUUGCUCUU